rnacentral:tRNA from 1 species
GGGCGAUUAGCUCAGCUGGUAGAGCAGCUGACUCUUAAUCAGCGGGUCACAGGUUCGAUUCCUGUAUCGCCCA